CAACUGGAGAGUUUGAUCCUGGCUCAGAACGAACGCUGGUGGCGUGCUUAACACAUGCAAGUCGAACGAGAAAGUUUCCUUCGGGAAAUUAGUAAAGUGGCGCAAGGGUGAGUAUCACGUGAAUAAUCUGCCCUCGAGAUCGGGAUAACAUGGUGAAAACUAUGCUAAUACCGGAUAAGACCACAUUUCAUAAGAAAUGCGGUAAAAGGAGUCUCAAUCUUCACUCGAGGAUGAGUUCGCGCAACAUUAGCUUGUUGGUGAGAUAAAAGCUCACCAAGGCUACGAUGUUUAGCCGGCCUGAGAGGGUGAACGGCCACACUGGAACUGAGACACGGUCCAGACUCCUACGGGAGGCAGCAGUGGGGAAUAUUGCGCAAUGGGCGAAAGCCUGACGCAGCAACGCCG
rnacentral:rRNA from 1 species